rnacentral:rRNA from 1 species
GACGAACGGGGGAGGAGGGAGGCAUACAGGCAAGUAGAACGCUGAAGGAGGAGCUUGCUUCUCUGGAUGAGUUGCGAACGGGUGAGUAACGCGUAGGUAACCUGCCUGGUAGCGGGGGAUAACUAUUGGAAACGAUAGCUAAUACCGCAUAAGAGUAGAUGUUGCAUGACAUUUACUUAAAAGGUGCAAUUGCAUCACUACCAGAUGGACCUGCGUUGUAUUAGCUAGUUGGUGAGGUAACGGCUCACCAAGGCAACGAUACAUAGCCGACCUGAGAGGGUGAUCGGCCACACUGGGACUGAGACACGGCCCAGACUCCUACGGGAGGCAGCCGUAGGGAAUCUUCGGCAAUGGACGGAAGUCUGACCGAGCAACGCCGCGUGAGUGAAGAAGGUUUUCGGAUCGUAAAGCUCUGUUGUAAGAGAAGAACGAGUGUGAGAGUGGAAAGUUCACACUGUGACGGUAUCUUACCAGAAAGGGACGGCUAACUACGUG